GGGAAAUAACAAUUACAUGACAAUCCUGUCUUCCAAAUGAAUUUAAAAACAUUUUGUUUUUAUAAACAAUCAUAACUAAUUAGAAAGAAAGAAAAAACACACAUACACACUGAAAAUAACAUGUGUUUAUGUUGCAACAACUUUAUUGUUGAUAAACAACUGCCAACCUGUACCAGAAACAAACAAUGGUUUGGAACAAACUAUACACCACGAACGACAACUCGACCUAGAAUGUUACUCACAUUUGUUGAUAAUGUAAACAAACAUCGAUUUACAAAAAAAGCGGUAAUAUGUAGCAAUUAACAACAAUCAGAAUGCUGUAGUAAAGAUCAUCAGGAAAUUAAUCUGGCUUGCCGCCCCGAGAUGCCGAUAAGUGAUAUUUUACAAAAUCAUGUUUUCAGGGGACGUGAUGAAUUGUCCUUGCCAAAAUUACAAAUAAUUCAGGUAUCUAACAUUUCUAACAUAUAUUGAUACCACGAUAAUACAUUGAUAAUACUGCCUUGUUAAAUAUACCUUAUUGUCAAAGAAUGCAGCAAUAAUUCUGUUGUCAACGGCCAAAGAAAAAUCGGGAUGAUCAAGCAUGGAAUUCCGGAAAUUGACCGUCUCCAAAAAUAUUAAAUUCUAAAAUUGAGUUAUCGUCCUUUUCGCGCCAGACGACUAUUGAAAAGGCUA
rnacentral:lncRNA from 1 species